GACGUAGGAUGCAAGCGUUGUUCGGAAUUAUUGGGCGUAAAGCGUGCGUAGGCGGCACGACAAGUCUGGUGUGAAAGCUAGGGGCUCAACCCCUGUGAUGCACUGGAAACUGUCGAGCUUGAGUGCGGUAGGGGAAGGUGGAAUUCCCAGUGUAGCGGUGAAAUGCGUAGAUAUUGGGAAGAACACCGGUGGCGAAGGCGACCUUCUGGGCCGCAACUGACGCUGAGGCACGAAAGCUUGGGGAGCGAACCGG
rnacentral:rRNA from 1 species